UUGUUCUGUUUUUUUUAUAAAGGAAUGAAUUGUAUGUUAUCUCUUCAAUGGAAUGAAUCUUCAAUGGGGUUCUGUGCAUACUCAAAUUGAGGCAAGUUUUUCUCUUCUGCUUUCUCUUCGCAUGCUAUUCUGUCUGCCUGUCCAUUUUUAUGUCCUUUUCCUCAUUAAUCCAUGCUUCAUAUUUGGAAUUGAAUUUUUUUAAUUAGAUUAUGCAUACGUUAAUUUCUAAUUAUUUGGUUGGCUAAUAUCAUCAUUCUACUUAUGGAGGAGAAUAGAAGAGCUAUCUUCUUUAUUGUCUCAUAAUUUUGUGGCUAAUAUUUGUGGUUGGUACCUAUUGUCCAUUUUUGUUAUUGUGCCCCACAUGGCUUUCAUGUAUUUUUGGGUGAAGUAAAAACAUCUAAGCAUUGCAAAAAUCUCUAUUUUGGUUAACUGGGGUAUAAUUUUGACAAACAUGAUACAAUAUUCAUGAAGGAUCAACUUUUGACUCUUGGAUCAUCUAGUUUAAUACUUUCAGCUAGAUUGGAUGAUUUGUUUGGUGAUUCUGUAAAACUUAGACUUAUUUCUGAAUAUCUUUGUCACAGUGUGUUAGUUCUCUUUCGAUGGAGCUGUCCCUUUCUAUGGAAUUAGGCUCAGAAAAUCUGUAUAAUUAAGCUCAUCACUAGUAUAGAAAGUGGUGAAUUUGUAUGAUUCACCACUCUGUGAAUUUGUACAAUUAUGCUCAUUACUGGUAUAGAAGAACUGCCCCUCCACUCAGAAAAUUUGUAUAUUUAGGGUCUGGAAUAGUAUGCAGUGAAUUUCAACUCUUUCAACUCUUUCACUAACCAAUCUUCAACUUUCCUUUGAUUAUUACUUGAAGAACUGGAUUAAUUGUCAUAUCUGAAAGCGCAGCUUGUCCUUUGAAAUUCUUGAGCAAUUCUUCUCUGUGGUUCUGAUGUCUACUUCCUUUCUUGAGCAAUGAGGAAGAAAAAGGAGCCAACCAGUUCACUGCCUCAGUGAAGAGGUUGUUCAGAAAAUGCAAAUGAGAAUGAAGCACCAGUGGAGAGCAUUGCUUGUAAAUGAGGGUUUGCAACAAAUUGAAUUUAUUCUUUGUUUAGCAAAAAAAGAAAAGACAAGGUUCGAAAGAGGGUGAAAAAAGGCGUGAUGAUCCUAAAUGGCUCAACUUCACAUUCCCUGCUUGCAUAAUGGAUACUUCAAAUGCCCCAUUCCCUUUAUUCUGAAAUUGCAGCUAAAUUCUAAUACUUUGUUGUAAGAAAAUACUUAAAGCAUUUGGAUAGAAUGAAUUUGAUUCUUGCAUUUACCAAUUAUGAAGGAUUGAAUUGUAUUUGUGUAGUCUCAAUGUAAUAAAAUUGUUCUAUGGUUUUCUCUCCA